UAAGACGAAGGUGGCAAGCGUUGUUCGGUAUCACUGGGCUUAAAGAGUGUGUAGGCGGAAAGGUAAGCGUCCUGUGAAAGCCCCCGGCUUAACCGGGGAAUUGCGCGACGAACUGUCUUUCUUGAGCCAAGUAGGGGUGCACGGAACUGUUGGUGGAGCGGUGGAAUGCGUAGAUAUCAACAGGAACGCCGGUGGAGAAAUCGGUGCACUGGGCUUGUGCUGACGCUGAGACACGAAAGCGUGGGGAGCGAACGGGAUUAGAUACCCCGGUAGUCCACGCCGUAAACGAUGUCUACUAGGUUGUGGAAGUUCUGACGCUGCCACGGCCGAAGCUAAAGUGCUAAGUAGACCGCCUGGGGAGUACGGCCGCAAGGCUA
rnacentral:rRNA from 1 species